AGUAGAAUAUGGCAGAGAUGGAAUUUGAACCCAAGCAAUCAAAUUCAAAAGACUAUACUCUAAAGCAAUGGCACUCAGGGAGUGAUCCAUCAGUGCCUGUGCACAACAAGGUCCACAACCUGGCAUUUAGUGGUAGGCCUGGAGCUGCUCUUGGUCAACAGUGUCAGAAGUUGGGAAGAAGAGCUGCAUAUCAAGCAGAAGAGAAUGAGAAGAAACAGGAACCCACUUCUGCAUCUGUCUAUAGCAACAUCUGACUAUAACGACCUUCAAAAGAUAAUGGCUGUUGCUUCAUUUCCAACCCUCCAAAUCUCAAGUAGCCUUGUGAUUACAUUGGGCUUACCCAGAUCCAGAUCAUCUAGGAUAAUCUCUCUACCCAAGAUCUUUAAUGUAAUCACACCUGCAAAGUCCCUUUUGGGAAGAAAGGUUGUAGAGAAGGUACUGUUCCCAUUGAAAUCAGUAACGGCCAUGUGACCUGAUUCGACUCAUGAAAUCGUGGACUUUUUCAUAGUCUCAAUGGGAUGUUUAUCUAAAAUGCAUACAUUCCUAAAUGAAGAGUGCCCUUGUCUUCACUGUAUAUUGUGUUAUUGUUAGAACUUUCAAACAUGCUAAAGAAGCUGAUAAGUCUAAGUUCACAUCAAUAAUUACAUUAUUCAACAACCUGAGAGAAGUGAAGCCAGGUUGAGUGUAGUCCCAGUAGAGAGAUGUUUUCUAUGUUCUCUUUCUUUUGUGUUUAGUAAAGGUACUUCACCAGAGGUCAAUUUUCUGUACCAAUUUCUGUUUGGCUGGAGCAGAUUCCAGCUGUGUCUGUGCUUGGUCUCCCACCUGAUGCCACCACAUCAAAGGGAAGCCCAUAUUACACUGGAAACAAGGCCCUGCUUCCCUGCUGAGUUUUGUGUUUUGUGACGUUCCCAAGCAAAAUUCGAAAUCUUCCUGUUUCAAUUUUUGUAAUGUGUAUCAUUAAAAUAAUACUCUCACAUGUGAAUAAAUCAAAUACUAAGAUUAGCCUAUCCUAAUUUCUAUACCUCCUACCCCCAUACGUGUUUAAACCUGUAGUCCCACUCUCCAGGAGAAACCUCUUUUUUUUUAUUGGUAAUAUAGGUGUUAAUUUUUGAUAUUUUUAAUAUCUCAAAUAAAGAAAAAGAAAGAAAGAAAGUAAAAUUACUUGUUAAAAAUCAGUUCAAAUUAAAAUUCACUAUAAUGGUUAAAACAGCUAACAUGUAUUGAAUGAUUAUGCUCUAGGCACUGUGGAAAAACCUCUUUAACAUGUUCCUGUUACCUCCAAAAUACUAGAUAAUAAACUUACAUCUCUGUAACUUUAUUUAAACACUCCGG
rnacentral:lncRNA from 10 species